GCGGUUUGUAAUGUUUAUCUUUGAUGACAUGUGCAUGAUUACGUAUUGGGCGGUAAAUUAUUCAGUUUUUGCUAGCAAGUGCACCAUAAGUAAAGAUCAGAUUGAAGACAUCAGUUGACUAUGAUGAUCAAGAAGAUUUGCUGUCUCGGUGCAGGAUACGUUGGAGGUCCAACUUGCACUGUAAUAGCCCUAAAAUGCCCAGACAUUCAGGUGGUUGUAGUUGAUAAAAGUGAAACUCGCAUUCAGCAGUGGAACUCUGCUAUUCUGCCAAUUUAUGAGCCUGGUUUAGAUGAAGCUGUGAAGAAGAGUCGUGGAAGAAACCUGUUCUUCUCAACAGAUGUUGAUAGUGCUAUUAAAGAAGCCGACUUGAUUUUCAUUUCUGUCAACACACCCACUAAAACUUAUGGGUUUGGAAAGGGACGUGCUGCUGACCUUCGCUACGUUGAAGCAGCAGCUCGUAGGAUUGCCGAGGUAGCAGUUGGAAAAAAAAUUGUUGUAGAGAAAAGCACAGUACCCGUGAAGGCAGCAGAAAGUAUCAACAAAAUUCUCAGAGCUAACAUGCGGCCAAAUGUCAGCUUUCAAGUGCUAUCCAACCCCGAGUUUCUGGCUGAAGGAUCAGCUGUCAAUGAUCUCUUAAAUCCUGAUAGAAUCUUGAUUGGAGGAGAUCAAACAUCAGAAGGCAAGGAAGCCAUUGAGAAAUUGUGUUGGGUUUAUAAACACUGGAUUCCAGAAAAGAAGAUAAUCACAAUGAACACCUGGUCAUCAGAAUUGUCUAAGCUGGCAGCAAAUGCUUUUUUGGCUCAAAGGAUAUCCAGCAUCAAUGCCAUCUCUGCAGUAUGCGAGGCAACCGGUGCAUGUGUUUCAGAAGUGGCACAUGCUGUGGGAACAGACUCGAGAAUUGGUCCAAAAUUUCUUCAAGCUAGUGUUGGAUUUGGAGGGAGUUGUUUUCAGAAAGAUGUCCUCAAUCUUGUGUAUUUGUGUGAGUGUUUGAAUCUUCCUGAGGUGGCCAAUUACUGGUACCAGGUCAUUGAAAUGAACCAGUUUCAAAGGACUCGAUUUGUUCGAAGAAUUACUGAAAAACUCUUCAAUACAGUUACAGAUAAAAAAAUAGCAAUCUUUGGAUUUGCAUUCAAGAAGGAUACUGGUGACACAAGAGAGUCUGCUGCAAUUUACGUAUGUAAACAUCUUUUAGAAGAAGGAGCCCACUUAUCCAUUUAUGAUCCCAAAGUAAAUGCACAGCAAAUAAUUCAUGAUCUUACACGCCCAGAUAUUACUGAGGAACCUGAAAAAGUGUUGCAACUGUUGUCAUUUCAUCAGACUCCAUAUUCUGCAUCAGAGGGAGCCCAUGCUGUUGUUAUCUGCACAGAAUGGGAUGAAUUUUUGCAUUUAGAUUAUAAGAAGAUUUAUAACUCCAUGUUGAAGCCUGCUUUUUUAUUUGAUGGGAGAAAGAUGUUAAAUGUAGAAGAACUGCUUGCUAUUGGGUUUCAAGUUGAAACAAUUGGACGAAAAACUACGCGUAACAAUGUCAACAGAGGUGUUGCUGAUUGCAUUUUAUAGUGAGUAGUUUUGUUUAGGAGUUCUGUUGAAGUGAGGCCUGUAACAAUCCAACGAUUAAUUGAUGUAUGUUACAGGAGUUCUGUUGAAGCCUAACUAAAGUUAUUAACUGAAACUGUGAAGUUUAAAAAAGAUCAAACAAUCCAACGAUAAGUUGAUGUAUGUUACAGGAGUUCUGUUGAAGCCUAACUAAAGUUAUUAACUGAAACUGUGAAGUUUAAAAAAGAUCAAACAAUCUAACGAUUAG
rnacentral:misc_RNA from 1 species